AGUCUGNAACCCGACUACAUGAAGCUGGAAUCGCUAGUAAUCGCAGAUCAGAAUGCUGCGGUGAAUACGUUCCCGGGUCUUGUACACACCGCCCGUCACACCAUGGGAGUCGGGAAUGCCCGAAGUCAGUGACCCAACCGCAAGGAGGGAGCUGCCGAAGGCAGGCUCGAUAACUGGGGUGAAGUCGUAACAAGGUAGC
rnacentral:rRNA from 1 species